rnacentral:lncRNA from 1 species
CACACGGUAAUAUAUACUUGUGUGCUAUUAAUACGUUCUUUUGAAAUCCGUGUCUUUGCGUCAGUUCAUGUUCAACAGGUUGUGUCGAGACUAUUAACAGCGUCACGAUUCUUUUCCUAUAAGUACUGCCACCCCCCAGUGGAUACACAUAUGCCUUUACGACAUCGAAACAUCACAACCAUUUGGACAAUGACAGCUGCGUGGAGUCUCCUGGUACUGAUCUUGUGUGUGGGGCUGGUCACAAGCUCUGUGCUGCCUGAUAAUGUGGAACAAGUUGCACAGAGCCAUCAUCGAGAUAUACGCCAGGCCACAGCAAGCUGUGGAUUACUGCCCUGGUAUUGUGUUUGGUUACAAAGAUUACACUAUACCUGGAUAUGGUUUUACCAGCAAAACUGCUAUGGGAGUUGUACAAGUCCAGGUGGUCGUCGAUAACGCCACGAAGACCAAGUUCAGCUGUGUGGUAGACAAAGACUGUGAGCGGUCAACAUUCACACGUAUAUAAUUAUGUUUCGCGGGUCUCGCUCCCUGCAGUGAGACAAAUCACCAAAGAAGAACACAUGAAAUGUAUGAGUUCCUCCCUACCUGCAUCUAUUAAACAGGUGACUUCAAACGGCACUGUCCCCAUACAACUGGCUUCAGAUAUGUUUGUGCAGUUCACUCCAGACAUGUGUUUGUACUGUUGACUGAAGAUCUGUUGGAACAGUUGUCUCAUACUCCCUUGUGUAUACAGUUAGCUCAUGGUCUGUGUUUGUUCUGUUGACUUUAGUUCAGCGUUUGUACAGAUGGUUCACUAUAUGUGUCUGUACAACUGGCUAUGGAUCUGUGUUUGUAUGGUGUAUGUGUCCAAUAACCCUGCACUUUGCUAUCUCUCUGAUUUCGUCCCACCUAAAGUAUCAGGAUCUAAUGAUUGCAGCCUAAGGAAUAGCUCUAAAUUACAGAAUCUACAUUGCAGAACAGCAAGCUAUGCAAAGUCUUAAAGUUUUCUUUCUAAUAUUCUUGAAUUCCUUGCCUACUGCAUAUACUGAAGACAGUACAUUGAAUGAUUUUAAAGGAUGAUAAAAUGUAAUGAAAUGCAUUGCAACAAAUUUGAUUUAAUUAUGGCCCUAGGUUCAACCAAAUUGUGCACUGUCACCUGAGACUUGGCUCCAUUGACCUCUAUGGUGGCAGGUUUCAAAGGUUGAUAUCAGCUAAUCCAAAUUAUCCUUGUGGCUACUUCCAAGAAGACGCACCUCACUAUUUCUUUACUUGUACCAACUACACUGGUAUAAGAGGAAACAUGUAUUUUUAAUCAAAAGCUUAUGAUCUACACUCCAUUCUUUAUGAAAAUGUAAAUGUUACAGCAAAGAUUAAUUUAGAAAUGCUAAAAACUGUUAACAUGUCAUAUAAGCCUCUGGCAGAUUUCUAAUUUUACCUCAGUGCGAACUAUCAUUGUCUCUCAUGUAUCUGAUUUUUGCUUAUACUGCAGCAUUUUCGGAGUCGACGGCUGUGUUUUUAGAAAAAUAAUUACAUUAUUAUUUACACUUGACUGUAUAUUAUAAUUGAUGACAUUUAAUGACAACUGGAGCCGUAUUGACAUCUUUUCUUGUUUACCAAUCCAGUUACACACAUUUGUGAAAUAAAAUAUGUUUCAAACAACUCUA